rnacentral:rRNA from 1 species
AUUGAACGCUGGCGGCAGGCCUAACUCAUGCAAGUCGAGCGAGCGGCGGACGGGUGAGUAAUGUCUGGGAAACUGCCUGAUGGAGGGAGAUAAAUACUGGAAACGGUAGCAAAUACCGCAUACCAUCAGAUGUGCCCAGAUGGGAUUAGCUAGUGGGUGGGGUAACGGCUCACCUAGGCGACGAUCCCUAGCUGGUCUGAGAGGAUGACCAGCAACACUGGAACUGAGACCUGGGCCAGACGCCUACGGGCGGCAGCAGUGUGGAAUUUUGCACAAUGGGUGCAAGCCUGAUGCAGUCAUGCCGCGUGUGUCAAGAAUGCCUUCGGGUUGUAAAGCACUUUCAGCGGGGAGGCGUUACCCGCAGAAGAAGCACCGGCUAACUCCGUGCCAGCAGCCGCGGUAAUA